rnacentral:rRNA from 1 species
GGUUAAGCGACUAAGCGUACACGGUGGAUGCCCUGGCAGUCAGAGGCGAUGAAGGACGUGCUAAUCUGCGAUAAGCGUCGGUAAGGUGAUAUGAACCGUUAUAACCGGCGAUUUCCGAAUGGGGAAACCCAGUGUGUUUCGACACACUAUCAUUAACUGAAUCCAUAGGUUAAUGAGGCGAACCGGGGGAACUGAAACAUCUAAGUACCCCGAGGAAAAGAAAUCAACCGAGAUUCCCCCAGUAGCGGCGAGCGAACGGGGAGCAGCCCAGAGCCUGAAUCAGUGUGUGUGUUAGUGGAAGCGUCUGGAAAGGCGCGCGAUACAGGGUGACAGCCCCGUACACAAAAAUGCACAUGCUGUGAGCUCGAUGAGUAGGGCGGGACACGUGGUAUCCUGUCUGAAUAUGGGGGGACCAUCCUCCAAGGCUAAAUACUCCUGACUGACCGAUAGUGAACCAGUACCGUGAGGGAAAGGCGAAAAGAACCCCGGCGAGGGGAGUGAAAAAGAACCUGAAACCGUGUACGUACAAGCAGUGGGAGCACGCUUAGGCGUGUGACUGCGUACCUUUUGUAUAAUGGGUCAGCGACUUAUAUUCUGUAGCAAGGUUAACCGAAUAGGGGAGCCGAAGGGAAACCGAGUCUUAACUGGGCGUUAAGUUGCAGGGUAUAGACCCGAAACCCGGUGAUCUAGCCAUGGGCAGGUUGAAGGUUGGGUAACACUAACUGGAGGACCGAACCGACUAAUGUUGAAAAAUUAGCGGAUGACUUGUGGCUGGGGGUGAAAGGCCAAUCAAACCGGGAGAUAGCUGGUUCUCCCCGAAAGCUAUUUAGGUAGCGCCUCGUGAAUUCAUCUCCGGGGGUAGAGCACUGUUUCGGCAAGGGGGUCAUCCCGACUUACCAACCCGAUGCAAACUGCGAAUACCGGAGAAUGUUAUCACGGGAGACACACGGCGGGUGCUAACGUCCGUCGUGAAGAGGGAAACAACCCAGACCGCCAGCUAAGGUCCCAAAGUCAUGGUUAAGUGGGAAACGAUGUGGGAAGGCCCAGACAGCCAGGAUGUUGGCUUAGAAGCAGCCAUCAUUUAAAGAAAGCGUAAUAGCUCACUGGUCGAGUCGGCCUGCGCGGAAGAUGUAACGGGGCUAAACCAUGCACCGAAGCUGCGGCAGCGACGCUGAUGCGUUGUUGGGUAGGGGAGCGUUCUGUAAGCCUGCGAAGGUGUGCUGUGAGGCAUGCUGGAGGUAUCAGAAGUGCGAAUGCUGACAUAAGUAACGAUAAAGCGGGUGAAAAGCCCGCUCGCCGGAAGACCAAGGGUUCCUGUCCAACGUUAAUCGGGGCAGGGUGAGUCGACCCCUAAGGCGAGGCCGAAAGGCGUAGUCGAUGGGAAACAGGUUAAUAUUCCUGUACUUGGUGUUACUGCGAAGGGGGGACGGAGAAGGCUAUGUUGGCCGGGCGACGGUUGUCCCGGUUUAAGCGUGUAGGCUGGUUUUCCAGGCAAAUCCGGAAAAUCAAGGCUGAGGCGUGAUGACGAGGCACUACGGUGCUGAAGCAACAAAUGCCCUGCUUCCAGGAAAAGCCUCUAAGCAUCAGGUAACAUCAAAUCGUACCCCAAACCGACACAGGUGGUCAGGUAGAGAAUACCAAGGCGCUUGAGAGAACUCGGGUGAAGGAACUAGGCAAAAUGGUGCCGUAACUUCGGGAGAAGGCACGCUGAUAUGUAGGUGA